rnacentral:misc_RNA from 1 species
GUAAUAAUUUCAGGGUCUAUCAGACUGUAACUGCUUAUUGCAAAGCGUUUGGUUGGUCCCCAUUGGCGGUUAUGGACCGCCGAGGAAAUAUACAAGUGCUGGUAAAGGCAAGGGUGUUUAUCUUUGCGAGCUUAUUUAGGCCUAACAUUUUAAUGAUCCUUCCGCAGGUUCACCUACGGAAA